rnacentral:rRNA from 1 species
UACAGAGGUCCCGAGCGUUGUUCGGAUUCACUGGGCGUAAAGGGUGCGUAGGUGGUGAGGUAAGUCGGAUGUGAAAUCUCCGAGCUCAACUCGGAAAUGGCAUUGGAAACUACCUUGCUCGAGGGUUGGAGGGGGACUGGAAUACUUGGUGUAGCAGUGAAAUGCGUAGAUAUCAAGUGGAACACCAGUGGCGAAGGCGAGUCCCUGGACAACUCCUGACACUGAGCACGAAGCUAGGGGAGCAAACAGG